rnacentral:tRNA from 1 species
CUCCCCAGCAAGGAUUCGAACCUCGAUAGCCAGGUUCAGAGCCUGGCGUCCUACCGUUAGACGACCGGGGA